AGUGAACGCUGGCGGUAGGCCUAACACAUGCAAGUCGAACGGCAGCACAGUAAGAGCUUGCUCUUACGGGUGGCGAGUGGCGGACGGGUGAGGCAUACAUCGGAAUCUACUUUUUCGUGGGGGAUAACGUAGGGAAACUUACGCUAAUACCGCAUACGACCUACGGGUGAAAGCAGGAGAUCUUCGGACCUUGCGCGAUUGAAUGAGCCGAUGUCGGAUUAGCUAGUUGGCGGGGUAAAGGCCCACCAAGGCGACGAUCCGUAGCUGGUCUGAGAGGAUGAUCAGCCACACUGGAACUGAGACACGGUCCAGACUCCUACGGGAGGCAGCAGUGGGGAAUAUUGGACAAUGGGCGCAAGCCUGAUCCAGCCAUACCGCGUGGGUGAAGAAGGCCUUCGGGUUGUAAAGCCCUUUUGUUGGGAAAGAAAAGCAGCAGGUUAAUACCCCGCUGUUCUGACGGUACCCAAAGAAUAAGCACCGGCUAACUUCGUG
rnacentral:rRNA from 1 species